rnacentral:rRNA from 1 species
AAACCAGACUCCUACGGGAGGCAGCAGUGAGGAAUAUUGGUCAAUGGGCUUACGCCUGAACCAGCCAAGUCGCGUGAGGGAAGACUGCCCUAUGGGUUGUAAACCUCUUUUGUCAGGGAGCAACGCCGGCUACGUGUAGCCGGACUGAGAGUACCUGAAGAAAAAGCAUCGGCUAACUCCGUGCCAGCAGCCGCGGUAAUACGGAGGAUCCGAGCGUUAUCCGGAUUUAUUGGGUUUAAAGGGAGCGUAGAUGGGUUGUUAAGUCAGUUGUGAAAGUUUGCGGCUCAACCGUAAAAUUGCAAUUGAUACUGGCAGCCUUGAGUACAGUUGAGGUAGGCGGAAUUCGUGGUGUAGCGGUGAAAUGCUUAGAUAUCAUGAAGAACUCCGAUCGCGGAGGCAAGUGUCCGGGGUGCAACUGACGCUGAGGCUCGAAAGUGCGGGUAUCAAACAGGAUUAGAUACCCGGGUACA